UGGCGACCGGCGCACGGGUGAGUAACACGUAUCCAACCUGCCGAUGACUCGGGGAUAGCCUUUCGAAAGAAAGAUUAAUACCCGAUGGCAUAGUUCUUCCGCAUGGUAGAACUAUUAAAGAAUUUCGGUCAUCGAGUGGGGAUGCGUUCCAUUAGCUUGUUGGCGGGGUAACGGCCCACCAAGGCAUCGAUGGAUAGGGGUUCUGAGAGGAAGGUCCCCCACAUUGGAACUGAGACACGGUCCAAACUCCUACGGAAGGCAGCAG
rnacentral:rRNA from 1 species